rnacentral:tRNA from 1 species
GCCCCCGUGGCCCAACUGGCAGAGGCUGGUCCCUUAAAAGGGCCGAGAUGUCGGUUCGAAUCCGACCGGGGGUA